rnacentral:rRNA from 1 species
UGCCCUGGCAGUCAGAGGCGAUGAAGGACGUGCUAAUCUGCGAUAAGCGUCGGUGAGGUGAUAUGAACCGUUAUAACCGGCGAUUUCCGAAUGGGGAAACCCAGUGUGAUUCGUCACACUAUCAUUAACUGAAUCCAUAGGUUAAUGAGGCGAACCGGGGGAACUGAAACAUCUAAGUACCCCGAGGAAAAGAAAUCAACCGAGAUUCCCCCAGUAGCGGCGAGCGAACGGGGAGGAGCCCAGAGCCUGAAUCAGUGUGUGUGUUAGUGGAAGCGUCUGGAAAGGCGUGCGAUACAGGGUGACAGCCCCGUACACAAAAAUGCACAUAUUGUGAGCUCGAUGAGUAGGGCGGGACACGUGGUAUCCUGUCUGAAUAUGGGGGGACCAUCCUCCAAGGCUAAAUACUCCUGACUGACCGAUAGUGAACCAGUACCGUGAGGGAAAGGCGAAAAGAACCCCGGCGAGGGGAGUGAAAAAGAACCUGAAACCGUGUACGUACAAGCAGUGGGAGCCUCUUAAUGGGGUGACUGCGUACCUUUUGUAUAAUGGGUCAGCGACUUAUAUUCUGUAGCAAGGUUAACCGAAUAGGGGAGCCGAAGGGAAACCGAGUCUUAACUGGGCGUUAAGUUGCAGGGUAUAGACCCGAAACCCGGUGAUCUAGCCAUGGGCAGGUUGAAGGUUGGGUAACACUAACUGGAGGACCGAACCGACUAAUGUUGAAAAAUUAGCGGAUGACUUGUGGCUGGGGGUGAAAGGCCAAUCAAACCGGGAGAUAGCUGGUUCUCCCCGAAAGCUAUUUAGGUAGCGCCUCGUGAAUUCAUCUCCGGGGGUAGAGCACUGUUUCGGCAAGGGGGUCAUCCCGACUUACCAACCCGAUGCAAACUGCGAAUACCGGAGAAUGUUAUCACGGGAGACACACGGCGGGUGCUAACGUCCGUCGUGAAGAGGGAAACAACCCAGACCGCCAGCUAAGGUCCCAAAGUCAUGGUUAAGUGGGAAACGAUGUGGGAAGGCCCAGACAGCCAGGAUGUUGGCUUAGAAGCAGCCAUCAUUUAAAGAAAGCGUAAUAGCUCACUGGUCGAGUCGGCCUGCGCGGAAGAUGUAACGGGGCUAAACC